rnacentral:rRNA from 1 species
GACGAACGCUGGCGGCGUGCCUAAUACAUGCAAGUCGAGCGAGCGGAACUAACAGAUUUACUUCGGUAAUGACGUUAGGAAAGCGAGCGGCGGAUGGGUGAGUAACACGUGGGGAACCUGCCCCAUAGUCUGGGAUACCACUUGGAAACAGGUGCUAAUACCGGAUAAGAAAGCAGAUCGCAUGAUCAGCUUUUAAAAGGCGGCGUAAGCUGUCGCUAUGGGAUGGCCCCGCGGUGCAUUAGCUAGUUGGUAAGGUAAAGGCUUACCAAGGCGAUGAUGCAUAGCCGAGUUGAGAGACUGAUCGGCCACAUUGGGACUGAGACACGGCCCAAACUCCUACGGGAGGCAGCAGUAGGGAAUCUUCCACAAUGGACGCAAGUCUGAUGGAGCAACGCCGCGUGAGUGAAGAAGGUUUUCGAAUCGUAAAGCUCUGUUGUUGGUGAAGAAGGAUAGAGGUAGUAACUGGCCUUUAUUUGACGGUAAUCAACCAGAAAGUCACGGCUAACUACGUGCCAGCAGCCGCGGUAAUACGUAGGUGGCAAGCGUUGUCCGGAUUUAUUGGGCGUAAAGCGAGCGCAGGCGGAAGAAUAAGUCUGAUGUGAAAGCCCUCGGCUUAACCGAGGAACUGCAUCGGAAACUGUUUUUCUUGAGUGCAGAAGAGGAGAGUGGAACUCCAUGUGUAGCGGUGGAAUGCGUAGAUAUAUGGAAGAACACCAGUGGCGAAGGCGGCUCUCUGGUCUGCAACUGACGCUGAGGCUCGAAAGCAUGGGUAGCGAACAGG